GAAACACUGACGGUGAAUACACGUCAAGUCAUCGUGUAUUGUCCUCAUUAUUCUGUACCACAGUUGAGAGCAGGUUCACAUUGAGGCUGAGAACAUCUCACAGUCGUGAGAGUCUGGAGGCAUUGUGGAAAAUGUUUCGACGUCUCCAUUUUCCAGCAUGGUUUUGGCAGCUCGAGGGAGGCAUGUCCUGGAGGCCCCCCCGCAGAUUCACUAGACGUGUCAUCGGGUCCCUUUCUAAUACCAUAUGAUGGUGCUGUGAGCCCUGGUUUCCUUGUGGUGUAUGGAAAUGCUCAGUCUUAGGUUUGGGAGGAGGUAUAGGAGACCUUUCAACUCAUCAGGAACAUGCCCGUUCGUCUUAGGGAGGGCAGACAGACAGUUGGAGGGCAUGCACACUGCAGAACCACUUGUCAAGAAGGUGUACCUCUUCAAUCCAUCCUGCUGUGAGUGACGGAAGUAAAUGUACGUGCACUAUAUCUCCCCGAGCACUGAUAUUGAAGACACUUGACAUCUGAACCCGCUUCCUCUCUCAAGGAAAUAAAAAAGAUGAAUUCGGCACCCAGUCAACGGAAGGAAGAGUCGCUUGCAUCAGCGUUUCUAUGGCAACAGAGGAGGAGGAGGGUCUCCAAGGUCGGAGCGAGAGCACCUGGAGCUGAGCCCAGAGGAGAACGGAAGCUUAACCUGGCGGGCCGUCGCCGCCACAAGCUCAUUUCUUUUAGAGUCUGCCUCCUGACAGGAACACCUCUGAUACUUUGCCAUAGAAGUCUGAUCAUCUCCCGGUGAGCUUGGAUAGAUAAUCCUGCAUCUUGGAGGUCAAAUUCAUUCAUUCCCCUCUAUGGAAGGACUGCAGUGACAAGUACCUUCCAGCACCUCAACACCUCACCUCAGCACCUGUACCCCGCCCCUCGCUCGAAGACAGCUGGGAUAGGCUCCAGCACCCCUGUGAUCCUCUUGUCCGAUGUUGUAUACGUGAUGAGGAUGCAUCCGCUGCGAGCGUCACAGCCAUCCUGGAUGAAGAUGCGAGGGUGGCAGCCAUCUUCUUCACAUACACAACACAACAAUGGACACCCGAUGGUAAUUUGUGAGGUUGGAUUUUUUCUUUUACUCUUUUGAACGCAUUUGUUUUGAGAAGCCAAACUCUUUACUUAAGUAACCCCAACCGUAUACCGGAACUACAUCCAAGCUCACAGGAGUAAGUCACUAUUGAUGGACUACACUGCUGAUGGGGAUGUCAUACAACCUCAUGUUACAAAAAAAAUCAAAACUAUCCCCUUAAUGGAUCUGUGACAAGACUCUAUGAACCACGUUAAUUACAUUCAGCAUCUAUUUGGGACGUAGAUGAAAAUAUUAAAUAUUUGAUAUUGAUAUUUUGGUCAAACACAAGCAACUAUAUGUCCAUUUUUGCACAAAAUCCUAUGAAAUAUUCCAUAAAAGGCUCCGUUUGUCCAAUAGGCUUUAGUGUAGAAUGUCAAUGAAAAGCGCAGAAGUGUCAGCUCCUAGCGAGGAUACGAAGUCUGAUUGAAAAGGACAAAAUGUAGCAUAGAAGCGAACGGCUGCAGGUGCAGCACGACCACAGCGACUUAAGGCGGCGGUGCUGGCAAUGCAUUCUGGGUGGAUGGAUUUGUAUGCACGGGACAAUAGAGCACAGGCAGGUGAGGCCACAGCACAGAGACCAGGAUGGACAGAGCGAGAAAGAGAGGGGGGGGAGAAAAAAAAAAAAAGAGGGUCUGAACGACAGCGGAGGACAGUUACAAACCGUGAUUUGAUUUUGGAGGACGGAGGCCUCCCCCAUCUUGUCAUUUCUCAAACAUGCAGUGAGAUGGGGAGCCACCGCCCCUGAAGGAAGACAACAGCCCCAGCGCAAUACCACACCAAGGAGGAUAAAAAACAGAUAAAAGAGAAAGAGAAAGAGGUUUUAGAUCACCAAACUUGAAGAAAGAAAGAUUAUUGCCUGUAUUGAUUUUCAAUGAAAAAUGUGUUUAUUUUUAAUAACCCCGGUCAUUCAGAGUAAUGAGACAGUCCAGGAAGUUGCCCAAAAAGUUCCCCUUCGGUGGAAACCAGCGAUUACAGAAAGGAGACCCGAAACAAGUUCACACACCAGCGUGCGCCCACACUAACACACUUAGCAAGCGGCAAAGACAUGUCAGACCCACACACACACACACACACACACACACACAGAUAUACACACACAUACAUACAACAGCAUACAAGUCAGUUUUACAGUUUAGACAAGAAUCAAAGAAACAUUAGCAAGCCUGUCAAAGGUUGUGCCAACAAAAAGUGUAAAAAAAAAAAAAAAAAAGACAAAAAAUACAAGGUCACAUGAUGUCAUAGUGGUAGCGCAAAUCAAAUCACUUGUCAGGACAGGCAAACGUAGCUCCACUCCAAAAAACAAAAUACUGUACAUUGAACAUGACUUGUGACUAUCAAUCAUAACUGCUCAAACAAUUCAAAUUAAAAAAAAAUUCCAUAAAUAUUAUGGAAAAUAGACAUAAAGAAAAAAAGAUCAAAUUUACACUGUUGACAAGGUCAUGCAGAAAUAGACUAUCCAUUUAUAUGUGGCUUCACUUCAUGGCUCUGUACACAGAACAAAAAUACUUGUAAAAAUGCCUCUAUUUCUUUAUCUCUGUACAAAACCUCUAUAUAGGAUAUAGGGGGGAGGGGCUUGUUCAUUUGAUGCAUACGGGAUGGGAGUUCCUAUUGUCACAGCUUUUCAUCGAUAUCAACAGUGGGUGCAAAAAAACGGGAAUAGUGAGUCAUGUCAAGGACAGUAUGUGAGAUUCUCUCUUUAACAAGCCUUCCAUUUGUGGUUCCCACUUUAAAGUUCAGUAGCUUACAUUCACCUUCAAUAAAUAUCAUAAAUAUGUUUGUGACAAGCUGCGUUCAAGAGAAACUCCCUCGUUAUAAGAAAGGGAUGGAUUGGUCAAGUUUGGAAUCGUGCUGUCACCUAAAAUGAAUAAUUCCUUCACUGGAACCUUGUAAACAGUUUAUGUGGGAUCAGACGCAGCACCCUUGAGGAAAGGUCCCAGCAGAGAGACCGUCUCUGCCCCGACGAUGAAAAGUGACAGUGGGAUGACAUGAAGAGAGGGUGACACAGCAGGAACGGGCAAGAGCACCCCACCCAAAAAAAAAAAAAAAAAAAAGCUGAAAAAGUGUGACCGCCACCGGAAAGACACCACCCAACUAUCUCCAAAACCAGGGUUCCCGGACAGGGAUUUGGUUCUUUCCCUCCCUGCCCUCAAACCACCACCGUCCACUGACUGGCCGUCCCUUCCCAGCUCAGGGUGUGAAGAUGGGGGAGAAUGGAAUGUUUUCGUAGAUUGACCCACCAUAUUCGGGCACCGAGCCGUCACCCCUCUUGAGCAUCAGAUGGACGCGUCGGCCUCCGCUUUUAAUGAGCUCGAUGGCUCGGGAAUGCUUCAUGCCCUUGGUGCUCUCGCCGUUGAUCUCCAAGAUCUCAUCGCCAACCUGGGGGGGAUGGGAAGAGGAGGAUGAGACGAGAUGGGAGUGGGAGGAUGGGUGAUGCGGGUGAGGAUGACGAGCGGAAGAGGUGUGAAUCAGAGGAAGACAAAAAGUAUUCCACAAAACAAGCCAGAGUACGAAAGAACGUACACACGAGUAAAAAGAAGACAGAAAGGUGGCAAAAUGUUGUAACACAUUCAGUCUUUGAGUGACAUUUCCUCUCUAGUUGUUGUUUUUUUUUUUUUUUGCUCCCCCAAAACUAAGUAGGACACGGGGUGUCACAAAAGUGUGAAGAAGAGCGCGGAAGAUGUGAAAAUGAGGCUGGAAAAAAACAGAAUAUCACACAUUUUCUUCCCCCUUUUCCAACUUCCGAAAGGGUAUUCCUCUGAGGCACAAUACGGUUCUUCCGAACAUUCCAAUAUUGAUAUUUACACUAGCAACCAAGCUAAACUUGCUAUACGUAUAUUUAUUUAGCCUCCCUGUAACAUUCUUACAAACUGUAUGAUCUCAUCAAGAAUAGGUUAUUCAUUAAAUGUACAUAAUCUGUCAGUGGGUAAUAAAAUUAGUGAUGCUACGCUCUCAAGGCAGCUUGGUCAGGCCCCCGGUGGGGGGCGCAUAGCUUGUGGUAAUUGGCGGGGUAACAUAAUGUACGUACAUUUCUAUUGACAGAUAAUUGUAUUCACUGGAAUGAAUACUUUAUGAGGCAAUCUAUGCGGCCUCUCUGUUAGCAGCGUGUUGACAUGAAUACAUUAGCACCCGUCUACAUGGGGGGCCACUUAAUCAUUGACAUAUUGGUCAUUAGGUAUGGCUGCAUUUCAAUAACAGGCAGUAUUAUUACGAUUAUAUUACAUGAAACACGGUAGCAGGAUGACACAAUGGAUACCACUCUGAGUAUUGAGCUUUUCAGGUUAAUAAUAGCAGAACAGAUGGUAUGUAAUAACAUUUACAAUAAACAGGAUGCUUUCUACGUAUAAUAACGCUAGAUUCAAAGUACUGAAUUUUCCAUUUGCAAAUGAAAGGUUGAUGCUGCAGAGAUGUGUUCAGGUCCUUGAACUAAACAGUGAGGUUUAUAUGGUAAUAUUAACACAAUAUAACACACAUAUAUACAGUCACGGAAAAAAUGAUUUAGUUUAUUGAUCCAUUUUAAUGCCUGGUACAUUUGUUUGGGCACAUAUAAUGAUGACAAAAAUAAACUCUUUUAUGCUUUUUUUCCCACUUUUCCGACCUAUAAAUGUUAGAAUGUUGUAUUCUCGUGUUAAACCAUACUAAGGUUCAGAUAACGAUGUUUGGGUAUUUGGAAGUUUGGGAUGGUUCAAAACGCUACGUUUCAGAAGGUGUGGUAAAAGUGUUCCUUUGUGAUGUCACAAAGGGGCAGACUUCCUUAUAUGGUUCAUAGUUGGGAAGCACUUUGGGUGUGUGACCGGAAGGCGGGCCCAUAAAUUAAAAACUGACCAUUUUGUCAGGAAACACAAAUCAAAGGAAAUACAAAGGAAUAGGUGCAGACUCUGCAAGA